UCAGAAUGAACGCUGGCGGCGUGCAUAACACAUGCAAGUCGAACGAGAAAGUCCCUUCGGGGAUUAGUAAAGUGGCGCACGGGUGAGUAACGCGUGGGUAAUCUACCUAUAGUUUAAGGAUAACACUUCGAAAGGAGUGCUAAUACUUAAUAGUAUUGCGAUUUCUUCGGAAGUUGUAAUUAAAGACUGCCUCUACAUGUAAGCUGUUGACUAUAGAUGAGCCCGCGUACCAUUAGCUAGUUGGUAGGGUAAUGGCCUACCAAGGCAAAGAUGGUUAGCUGGUCUGAGAGGAUGACCAGCCACACUGGAACUGAGAUACGGUCCAGACUCCUACGGGAGGCAGCAGUGAGGAAUAUUGCGCAAUGGGGGAAACCCUGACGCAGCGACACCGCGUGAGUGAUGAAGGCUUUCGGGUCGUAAAACUCUGUCAGAUGGGAAGAAAAAAUAGUAGCUAAUAACUAUUGUUUUUGACAGUACUAUCAAAGGAAACACCGGCCAACUCCGUGCCAGCAGCCGCGGUAAUACGGAGGGUGUUAGCGUUGUUCGGAAUUAUUGGGCGUAAAGAGCGUGUAGGCGGCUUGAUAAGUCAGAUGUGAAAUACCUUGGCUUAACCAGGGAAGUGCAUUUGAAACUAUCAGGCUUGUGUACGGGAGAGGAGAGUGGAAUUCCCAGUGUAGAGGUAAAAUUCGUAGAUAUUGGGAGGAACACCAGUGGCGAAAGCGACUCUCUAGACCGAUACUGACGCUGAAACGCGAAAGCGUGGGGAGCAAACAGGAUUAGAUACCCUGGUAGUCCACGCUGUAAACGUUGGGCACUAGGUGUAGGGAGUUUUUAAACUUCCUGUGCCGAAGCUAACGCAUUAAGUGCCCCGCCUGGGGAGUACGGUCGCAAGACUAAAACUCAAAGGAAUUGACGGGGGCCCGCACAAGCGGUGGAGCAUGUGGUUUAAUUCGACGCAACGCGAAGAACCUUACCUGGGUUUGACAUAUUAGUAGUAGGAAGCUGAAAGGCAGACGAGCCCUUCGGGGAAGCUAAUACAGGUGCUGCAUGGCUGUCGUCAGCUCGUGUCGUGAGAUGUUGGGUUAAGUCCUGCAACGAGCGCAACCCUUGUUUUUAGUUGCUACCAUUUAGUUGGGCACUCUAAAAAGACUGCCGGUGUUAAACCGGAGGAAGGUGGGGAUGACGUCAAGUCAUCAUGGCCUUUAUGCCCAGGGCCACACACGUGCUACAAUGGGCUGUACAAAGGGCAGCAAAACCGUGAGGUUAAGCAAAUCCCAAAAAACAGUUCUCAGUUCGGAUUGGAGUCUGCAACUCGACUCCAUGAAGUCGGAAUCGCUAGUAAUCGUGGAUCAGCACGCCACGGUGAAUACGUUCCCG
rnacentral:rRNA from 1 species